rnacentral:pre_miRNA from 11 species
GUUUAUGAGAAUGAUCCCUGGUUCGAAACCAUUUUGAUUGAAUUAGAAGUGGUCUCGGACCAGGCUUCAUUCCCACCAAC